UCACAUAAUAGUUAGCUAUAACGACGUCCGCCAUAUACGUUCCCGGGAAGUUUUAGAAAGUAUGUUUAAGAGUAUUUGUAGUGCGAUGGAAAUUGUGGCUAAUAAUGACACUAAAGGAAUUCUAAACCAUUACUAUAUAAAAGUAGAUAGCUGUUAAUGGUAGCACUAAUGUGUAGUUUUAAAUGUGGGCCAAAUUGUCGAAUUCUGGCGAUUAACUUUAUGACCCAAUAUAACACAAAUAUUUCAUCUUCUAUUUUGUUGAAUAUAUUGAAAUUCCAAUAUAGAAGUACAUAUAUUUCAGGGCUUGAAAGUAAUCAUCCAAAACCAAGGGAAUUGAAUAAACGAAUUUUUAAAGAAAUUUAUCAAAAACUACAUUUUGUGACUUGCAUUGAGGAAUUCUUAAGCUGAUAAAGCUUUAAGCAAUGUGGAGUAAACUUUUUAUUAACUAUCAUGAAGUCGGACAGUAACUGGGUAUUUAAAUUCAAGGAAACGUGAAUGUAGGAGAGUAUAAUUAUCAAGUCAAGUAUUGUGUUGAAAAGAAGCAAUGUUUAUUCAUACAUAUGUUUGUGUACAUAGUUUGGGGUAGUGACUGUGAGUCAUACAAUGAAUGGCCAUGUAUUUAUUUGUGCAAUAUUGUGUUGAUAGUGAUCUAGCUUUCAAAUUAUGGCAUUUAGUUUGAUUAUAUCGUAAAGAAAAAAAUUAAGGAUCCCUGCACCAAGGCCAAAAAGAUAUUGUGCAUUGGAUUUAUUUUGUGGCAUGACUUUUGCCUGGGUACUAUUAAAUUGUUUCUGAAAAAUAAAAUCUAUAACUGCGAAAUUUUAUAAAGCAAUUAAAAUUAAAAUAAAUGAAAACUAAUCAACAUGUAGUGUUCUGAGUAUUAAAAUGCAACGUGGCCAGAUUAAGAUUGAAACCCUGGACCCCCGAUUAUUACUCUCACUCUCUAACCUUCUGAGCUACCUUGACACUGACCAAGUGGAUUUUACUUUAUUGUUUUCCUUGCAGUGGGGCAGGGAUCCUUAAUGAAUGAAAAAUGAAAUAAGUGUGCUUUUAAGAUAAAAAUAGCAACAAAAUUAGCGGAAAAUUAAGAAUCCAAUGACAUUAUUCCAGUUCGGAAUAAAUUAUCUUACUAAGAGCAUAGAACAGUUAAGCGAAAAUAUCUAAAAAAGUGUUGUGUAAAUUGAUGAAACAUUGAUUCUGCCAUGUUUUUAAAUCUGACUGUAUGUACUUGCGUUGACAGCAUUCUGGCGUUUGGUGAUUUGUGUCAGCAUUGUUUAUGAACUUUGCCUUGUCUACCUCCUUUUCCAGUCAAAAAAGGAUGCCCGUCAGCUUCUUACCCACUUUGAUGACAGACUUGGGAGGGAGAUGCCGGAGAAAGCUUAUGGAGGGAAUUGUUUUAUUUACGACCCUGACAACACUGACCCAUUUCACAACCUGUGGGACAAAGUAGAUGUGUUUGUUCCAACUCAUUUCUUUGGGUGGUGGGCAAAGACGCUAAUACUGAGGGACUGGUGGUUAUGUACUGUGCUGAGUAUCAUGUUUGAAUUACUCGAGUAUACACUGGAACAUCAGCUGCCAAACUUUAGCGAAUGCUGGUGG